rnacentral:rRNA from 1 species
UACGGGGGGGGCAAGCGUUGUUCGGAAUUACUGGGCGUAAAGGGCUCGUAGGUGGCCAACUAAGUCAGACGUGAAAUCCCUCGGCUUAACCGGGGAACUGCGUCUGAUACUGGAUGGCUUGAGUUCGGGAGAGGGAUGCGGAAUUCCAGGUGUAGCGGUGAAAUGCGUAGAUAUCCGGAGGAACACCAGUGGCGAAGGCGACACGCUGGGCCGUACCUGACGCUAAAGCGCGACAGCAUGGGGAGCGAACGGG